UACAGACGGUCCAAACGUUAUUCGGAAUCACUGGGCUUAAAGAGCUCGUAGGCGGUUUGUUGCGUCGGAUGUGAAAGCCCGGGGCUUAACCCCGGGUCUGCAUUCGAUACGGGCAGACUGGAGUGUGGUAGGGGAGAUCGGAAUUCCUGGUGUAGCGGUGAAAUGCGCAGAUAUCAGGAGGAACACCGGUGGCGAAGGCGGAUCUCUGGGCCAUUACUGACGCUGAGGAGCGAAAGCGUGGGGAGCGAACAGG
rnacentral:rRNA from 1 species